rnacentral:rRNA from 1 species
AUGCCAUUACUGCGCAGCAGUACUCGCCAAGCACGUCUGAGGUUCAGGAAGCUUGACGAUCAACAAGCAGAGCCGGCUGUGAAACCGGUGCCACCUGCUCCACAGAGAGCAGGGAAGCACGUUCAUAUACCUGCUGCCAGGGGCAGAAAGGGUGCUCCUUGGAGAAGAGUGGUGCCGGCACCAAGGCGUGCAAGAAAGGGGGCGGAAGUUGUUGACUUGGAUGCUAACCUGGGUUCUGAACACCUCCCUAAAGCUGUUGCCAUACAUGCAGUUGUUUGUGAAUCCAAGGACCCUGCUUUGAACAAGGUUGCUCAGGGUGUCGGCAAUAAAGGUUUGAGAAUGGAUGGUGAAAGUGCUGAGAAGCUUGUCGGCGCUGAAGACGAUUCAACAAUAGCACCAAUCCCGGAGAGGGUUCACGUAGGUAAUUCUCCUGUGUAUAUAACUGACAGGAAACUAGGUAAAGGUGGCUUUGGUCAAGUGUAUGUUGGUAGAAGGGUAUCUGGUGGGACUGCUCGCACUGGUCCUGAUGCAUAUGAGGUUGCAUUGAAGUUUGAGCACCGGAGUAGUAAAGGGUGCAAUUUUGCCCCCCCAUAUGAGUGGCAAGUUUAUCAGACUCUCAGCGGCUGCUAUGGUGUACCGGCAGUCCACUAUAAGGGCCGGCAGGGCGACUACUUUAUCCUUGUAAUGGAUAUCCUUGGUCCCAGUCUUUGGGAUGUAUGGAAUUCGCUGGGACAAGCGAUGUCUCCACAUAUGGCUGCUUGCAUUGCUGUAGAAGCCAUAUCAAUUCUUGAGAAGUUUCAUUCCAAAGGGUUUGUUCAUGGUGAUGUGAAACCAGAGAACUUUCUGCUUGGUCUGCCUGGAUCACCUGAGGAGAAGAAGCUUUUCCUUAUUGAUCUUGGUUUAGCAUCAAGGUGGAGAGAUUCGUCAGGUCAACAUGUUGAUUAUGAUCAAAGGCCUGAUAUCUUCAGGGGCACAAUUAGAUAUGCAAGUGCUCAUGCUCAUCUAGGUCGUACAGGUAGUAGGAGGGAUGAUUUAGAGUCAUUGGCAUACACCCUUAUAUUUUUAAUAAAAGGAAGAUUGCCUUGGCAAGGCUACCAGGGAGAUACCAAGAGUUUCCUUGUUUGCAAGAAAAAAAUGGCUACCUCUCCGGAUAUGUUAUGCAGUUUCUGCCCACCUCCGUUCAAACAGUUUCUUGAGUCUGUCACAAAUAUGAAAUUUGAUGAAGAGCCAAAUUACGCCAAACUUAUUUCUCUCUUUGAAAGUUUGAUUGAAUCACCUGCGUCAAGGCCCAUCAGAAUUGAUGGGGCCCUUAAGGUGGGGCAAAAACGUGGAAGGCUACUUGUAAAUCAUGAAGAAGAUGAUCAGCCUAAGAAGAAAGUUAGAUUAGGGAGCCCAGCAUCACAGUGGAUUUCAGUUUACAAUGCCAGGCGCCCUAUGAAGCAGCGGUAUCAUUACAAUGUGGCUGACAACAGGCUUCAACAGCAUAUAGAAAAGGGUAAUGAGGAUGGUCUAUACAUCAGUUGUGUGGCUUCUUCAGCAAACCUUUGGGCUCUCAUUAUGGAUGCAGGAACUGGUUUCGGUUCUCAGGUUCAUGAACUCUCACCUGUUUUUCUACAUAAGGACUGGAUAAUGGAUCAGUGGGAGAAAAGUUUCUACAUAACAGCAAUAGCUGGAGCAUUGAACGGAAGUUCAUUGGUUGUAAUGUCUAAAGGAACUCCUUACACUCAACAAUCAUACAAGGUUAGCGAAUCAUUCCCCUUCAAGUGGAUCAAUAAAAAGUGGAAAGAAGGUUUUCAUGUAACAUCUAUGGCCACAGCUGGAAAUCGCUGGGGAGUAGUCAUGUCAAGGAACUCUGGCUAUUCUGGACAGAUUGUUGAGUUGGAUUUCCUGUAUCCAAGUGAAGGCAUCCAUUGGCGAUGGGAGCAUGGUUACAGAAUAACUUCUUCAGCAGCUACCGGUGAUCAAGCCGCUUUUAUCUUGAGCAAGCCAAAACGGAAACCAGUAGACGAGACACAAGAAACUCUACGGACCUCAGCCUUUCCCAGCAACCAUGUAAAGGAUAAAUGGGCCAAGAAUCUGUACAUUGCUUCAAUCUGCUACGGGAGAACUGUCAGUUGA